rnacentral:rRNA from 1 species
AACGAACGCUGGCGGCAGGCUUAACACAUGCAAGUCGAGCGCCCCGCAAGGGGAGCGGCGCACGGGUGAGUAACGCGUGGGAACCUGUCCUGUAGUGGGAACAACCCGGGGAAACCCGGGCUAAUACCGCAUGAGCACCGCGAGGUGGAAAGACUUCGGUCGCUACAGGAGGGGCCCGCGUCGGAUUAGCUAGUUGGUGGGGUAACGGCCUACCAAGGCUUCGAUCCGUAGCUGGUCUGAGAGGAUGAUCAGCCACACUGGGACUGAGACACGGCCCAGACUCCUACGGGAGGCAGCAGUGGGGAAUAUUGGACAAUGGGGGCAACCCUGAUCCAGCCAUGCCGCGUGAGUGAUGAA